CGGACGGGUGAGUAAUGUAUGGGGAUCUGCCUGAUGGCGGGGGAUAACUACUGGAAACGGUAGCUAAUACCGCAUAACGUCGCAAGACCAAAGAGGGGGACCUUCGGGCCUCUUGCCAUCGGAUGUGCCCAGAUGGGAUUAGCUAGUAGGUGGGGUAACGGCUCACCAAGGCCACGAUGCAUAGCCGACCUGAGAGGGUGAUCGGCCACACUGGGACUGAGACACGGCCCAG
rnacentral:rRNA from 1 species